rnacentral:rRNA from 1 species
GAUGAACGCUGACAGAAUGCUUAACACAUGCAAGUCAACUUUGGCUGACGCGUGAGUAACGCGUAAAGAACUUGCCUCACAGAUCGGGCCAACAUUUGGAAACGAAUGCUAAUACCUGAUACUGUGAGAGAGCUUUGCGUCCCAUUAGCUAUUUGGAGUGGUAACGGCUCACCAAGGCGAGGUUGGGUAGCCGGCCUGGGAGGGUGAUCGGCCACAAGGGGACGGGGACACGGCCAUUAAUCCUACGGGAGGCAGCAGUGGGGAAUAGUGGAAAAUGGACCAAAGACUGAUCAAGAAAUUCGGUGUGCAAGAUGAAGUUUUAGGGAGGUAAAGUGCGUUAAGUUGGGAAGCGGUACCAAAAGAAGAAGUGACGGCUAAAUACGUGCCAGCAGCCGCGGUAAUAC